CGACGACGCUGGCGGCGUCGCCUAAUACAUGCAAGUCGAGCGGACCGACGGGAGCUUGCUCCCUUAGGUCAGCGGCGGACGGGUGAGUAACACGUGGGUAACCUGCCUGUAAGACUGGGAUAACUCCGGGAAACCGGGGCUAAUACCGGAUGCUUGAUUGAACCGCAUGGUUCAAUCAUAAAAGGUGGCUUUUAGCUACCACUUACAGAUGGACCCGCGGCGCAUUAGCUAGUUGGUGAGGUAACGGCUCACCAAGGCGACGAUGCGUAGCCGACCUGAGAGGGUGAUCGGCCACACUGGGACUGAGACACGGCCCAGACUCCUACGGGAGGCAGCAGUAGGGAAUCUUCCGCAAUGGACGAAAGUCUGACGGAGCAACGCCGCGUGAGUGAUGAAGGUUUUCGGAUCGUAAAACUCUGUUGUUAGGGAAGAACAAGUACCGUUCGAAUAGGGCGGCACCUUGACGGA
rnacentral:rRNA from 1 species